UAUCUCUACGGGAGGCAGCAGUGAGGAAUAUUGGUCAAUGGACGCAAGUCUGAACCAGCCAUGCCGCAUGCAGGAAGACGGCACUAUGAGUUGUAAACUGCUUUUGUACGAGGGUAAACGCAGAUACGUGUAUCUGUCUGAAAGUAUCGUACGAAUAAGGAUCGGCUAACUCCGUGCCAGCAGCCGCGGUAAUACGGAGGAUUCAAGCGUUAUCCGGAUUUAUUGGGAUUAAAGGGUGCGUAUGCGGUCGGAUAAGUCAGAGGUGAAAUCGC
rnacentral:rRNA from 1 species